rnacentral:siRNA from 1 species
AGCAUUGGAGAGACCUCCUACAU